UUUGAAAUGUCUAACAACAGAUGUUCUAUUUCCUUUUUUAUACAUAAAUCUUAUUUUUUUUACCCUUCAUUCAUUUACUAUUUUUAUUCUUUUACUAUUAUUUUUUUUACUUCAAAAUUCUUUUUAAUUCUAUAAUUAUAUCAUCAAUCAAUCUUGAAAACGCAGAUCUUAUUCGCUCCAACCUUCGCGUCGCACUGAUUCUCCAAUGUACAGAAUUUUCACCUUGGUGUUAUCUUCUCCAUUCUACUACGGACAUUGAGAGAAAUUUUGCAAGAAAUAAUUAGCGUUAUCUUCUUCUUUCUCGAGCUAAUGGCUGACACCGGCGCACCAUAACUCUUAUACUCCAAAUAGGUGAAAAUAUGUAGAGCUAUGCUAUCUUUACGAUGAUAAAAUCAACAAUCUAGACCUGCAGAAAUUGUUGGCUUCAUUUUCACACCUAUUGCAAAUGUGUGGCUAUUUAAACCACACCUAUUGCAAACGUAUGGCUAUUCAAACUUGAACUUGUUGCAGAGAUUUAAAUUAUGAUGGGUACUAAAGAAAUAAUUAUUGUUCUUGACAUUCAACAAAAAAAAAAAAAAAUGUUCUAUGAUUUAUUUUGGAGUUGUGAUAUGGAUGAAACAUUCAUUUGUACAUUAGUAGAUAUAGCAUGUCGACUUGAUUUAAUCAUAAAAGUGUCUAACUCCACACCUAUUCAAGAGACAUUAGAUGCAGUGAACAAAAAAUUUGGGACUAGUCAUAAAUAUGAUUAUGCAUUCUUAAAAUAUCAAAUGACAUAUGAUAGACAUUGGACCUUUAAUCAAAUCAUUAAAGUGAAAGAAGUUAACUAUGAAGAGCAAUUUAACAUCAUUGGGGCGAAAAAAGAAGUAUGGAAAACUAUUUGUAAGGUAUGUUCAUUUCUAUGUUAAUAGUACAAUAGAUUAUUUUUUUCUAAACAAAAGGUCUUGGCGAAACAAUAUAUUGAACUGUGAUCUGGAAAUGUAUUGAUUUGUAUUUUUAUAGCUCUAUAAGCUUGGUAUGACUUAUAGAUACGAAAGAGAACCAAUGUGAUAAGAACAACAACUUAUUUUUGGUUCUCGGGCACACAAGAAAAAUUAUUAUCCUCAUGAAGCUACUGAAAUGUCGAAUAAUUCUAUUGGUUCCAAUUCAAAUAUGGAUGCAAGUAAAAUUAUCAACAAUGUUUAUUAAACUUUCAAAUAUUCUAUUUUUUUUAUAAAUAAUUUGAUGAUAUCUAAUUACAAUUCAAAUGAUUUUCAAUGCAUAAUAUGUGAGUGAUUCGUAUGAUGAGCAGCAUAGUGAUGGAUCAUCCCAUUUCUUAUAAAGAUACACGACAAGAAAAAUUAUCCAAGGCUUGGGAAGAUUUCACGUUCGAAACAAAGACUAUAAAAAAUAGAUGGGAUGAAAAUUAUUGAAAAUGAAUGUAAUGAGUUUUGUGCUACUUCCAGCAAAUUUUGUUUAAGUAGGAGUAGUUUUGUGUGGGAACUUGUUCUCAAGACAUUAAAUUAUCCAACUCCAAAAUCUUAUUUUGCGCUUGUACUUUAAUUCUCGGGAUGAUAAUGUGAUGCAAUAUUUUAAAUUUA